CGAGAGGGUUACAUGACCUGCUAACUCUUUAACCUG
rnacentral:tRNA from 4 species